UCGCUUAUUGAAAUUCAGUAAUAACAAUCGUAAAUAUAUGGGUAUAAAGGUCAUGAAGACCAGUUAUGUGUCAUUAUUAAUCGUCAUAAAAAAAAUCAUAUACGCACGCAUUGUCGUUCCAUGAAAAGCUCCAUUGAUUGCUCUAGUUAGGUACUUUAUUAAACCAUAUUAGGCCAUACCGCCGCACAAUUUUCAACACGAUAAUCACUCGAUAUAAUUUUUUAUUACGUCAUAUUAGUAUUAUUAUUUUUAUUUUGAUCGGAUUUCGUGCAAAUUACGAUUGCGG